CGAUGAUCGAUCCUAUAGGNCGAUUGGNCCNGACGUCCUAGCUACGGCCGCCAUGGCCGCGGGUUACAGUUUGAUCCUGGCUCAGAUUGAACGCUGGCGGAAUGCUUUACACAUGCAAGUCCCGCGGCAGCGCGGGGCAACCUGGCGGCGAGCGGCGAACGGGUGAGUAAUAGAUAGGAACGUGUCCGGGAGUGGGGGAACUAUCCGAAAGGCUACCUAGUACCGCAUAUUCUCUGUGGAGGAAAGCGGGGGCUCGCAAUACCCCUCCCUCUCCGUGUGCUUUAUCUCCGACUACCUACCCGUUUACGUUUUUUUUCUCCAGCUCCAAAAACCGAACCCCCCACUACACAAACCAUACAAACCACAAUUUUCUUACCACACCCCCUCCCCAACGAGACGACGCAACAACCCGACAUACCACUACGACACU
rnacentral:rRNA from 1 species